CAUUACUUGAUAUUUUGUAGGGCUUAUCAGUGGCUGAGAUGUCCCAAGUUGAUGAUAUCAUGCUUUCAGCCAUUGACUUUGGCCAAGAUAGCUAUGCAACACCAUUUAGAUUUAUAUAUUUUUUACUUAAGUGAUAUAUUAAAUACAUGCUCUUUUCCGUUAUGUUAAUUUUUUUCCAUUAGUUUACCCCACCUGCCUCGAGGACAUCUCGUUUGAGAAAGCCAUCCUCUAGCACUUUGAGGCAGAAAAAAAUAUCCUCUCGGACACCCAAACGACAAAAGAAACAUAUGGGGUUUACGGAAUUAAUGAAUGCACCUGAUGUCGAUGAGGUUCAACAGAGGGAAGAGGUGAUAUCUUCAUAUUCACUUUGGAUUGCAUUCUUGCUUGUUCAAAAUAACUAAAUCCUUUUAUGUCAAUAUCAUAUGUUAUCAUUUUUCAUACAGGAAAUGGUAAUAGCUGCAUUAGAUUCGACAAGGCCUCCUAAGGUUACAGGAGAACUAUACGAGGCUUCGGUGUGCAUUUUUUCUACAUAUGUUAAAAAUAUUUGUUUUAUCUAGUUUCUCAACAACUUUGGGUUAUUAACUUGUAUGAUUGUCUUUAAACUAUUAUAGGCCCCUUGCAAACUUCCUAAUGUUAUUCUACCAUUCCAUUUCAGUAGAAGUCCUACACGUAUAUUAUGGGAUCCAACACGACCAAGGCAAAAGGAAAUGGUCGUAACUGAUUCAUCUGUGACUUUGCCUUCUACGACCACAACACAUCCAUCUGAGGCUCCGUUAUAGCCUCCUGUAGGACAUCCCACAGAUCCUCAGCCUCACCGAAUUGUAGAAGACAAAGAUGAGCCACGUACUGCUUCGAAGAGGCUCGAUUUUGAUGAUCCGCCACAGUCAUAGAUAUAGAUAGAGACAUAUAGUUAUAUUUGUGGUCAUUGAAGGGCCAAUUUUUUAUAUAUUCGACAUUUGUAUAUGUAUAUAUCGACUUUGACAGACAUGGCACAUGCCACAUUUUUGUAACUAUUAUUGAUUUGGCAUCUAUGCCAUUUUUUGAUAUAUGUACAUGAUUAUUGUUCAUUUUGAUAU